UUACCUGGUCUUGACAUCCACGGAAGUUUUCAGAGAUGAGAAUGUGCCUUCGGGAACCGUGAGACAGGUGCUGCAUGGCUGUCGUCAGCUCGUGUUGUGAAAUGUUGGGUUAAGUCCCGCAACGAGCGCAACCCUUAUCCUUUGUUGCCAGCGGUCCGGCCGGGAACUCAAAGGAGACUGCCAGUGAUAAACUGGAGGAAGGUGGGGAUGACGUCAAGUCAUCAUGGCCCUUACGACCAGGGCUACACACGUGCUACAAUGGCGCAUACAAAGAGAAGCGACCUCGCGAGAGCAAGCGGACCUCAUAAAGUGCGUCGUAGUCCGGAUUGGAGUCUGCAACUCGACUCCAUGAAGUCGGAAUCGCUAGUAAUCGUGGAUCAGAAUGCCACGGUGAAUACGUUCCCGGGCCUUGUACACACCGCCCGUCACACCAUGGGAGUGGGUUGCAAAAGAAGUAGGUAGCUUAACCUUCGGGAGGGCGCUUACCACUUUGUGAUUCAUGACUGGGGUGAAGUCGUAACAAGGUAACCGUAGGGGAACCUGCGGUUGGAUCAC
rnacentral:rRNA from 1 species